rnacentral:lncRNA from 1 species
CUACUUCUAGGCAAUGAACAUACAGAGAAGAAUAGCCAGAUAUAGCCUCUGAAUUAAUGGAAUUGAUGGUGCUAACGGGAACAUGGCUAUUUGAUUACAACUGUGAUACUACAGAAGAGAAAUGUAGGAUGACAAGGAAGGAAUUGGGAGAUCUAGCCUCAUCAAAAAAUGCAAGAUGGUUGAAGCUACUUGAUUUCAAAGACCAGAUUCCUGGAACAAAGAGAUUGCCCAUUUCACUUUCUUCAGCAUUUCCCAUGGCCAAUGUCAAGUUUUUGUAGGU